GGGGAAUAUUGGGCAAUGGGGGAAACCCUGACCCAGCGACGCCGCGUGAAGGACGAAGGCUUUCGGGUUGUAAACUUCUUUAGGGAGGGACGAAAAUGACGGUACCUCCAGAAUAAGCCACGGCUACCUACGUGCCAGCAGCCGCGGUAAUACGUAGGUGGCAAGCGUUAUCCGGAUUUACUGGGUGUAAAGGGCGCGCAGGCGGUUCUAAAAGUCAGAUGUGAAAGAUCAAGGCUUAACUUUGACAGGUCAUCUGAAACUUUAGGACUUGAGUAUCAGAGGGGAAAGUGGAAUUCCUGGUGGAGCGGUAAAAUGCGCAGAGAUCAGGAGGAACACCGGUGGCGAAGGCGACUUUCUGGCUGACAACUGACGCUGAGGCGCGAAAGCGUGGGGAGCAAACA
rnacentral:rRNA from 1 species